GUACUUGUGAGCAGUAUUUGUUCAGUUUCCCGAAGAAGCAGAGGUGUAAGAUUUCAGAAGUUUCCUGAUCAAGUAAGGUUUUUAAAAUCAGAAUAUUUACUCUCAAAACCGAAAUGUCAAGUUUUCUUUUUGGAUACUUGGAAUAUACCUGCCUGAGGCAAACACUUCAAUGCUGAGUCAUUGUAAAUCUCUAGCCCGCAACCAGUAAGUUCCUACUGCCUGUGGUACAUAAAAUGGGAAAGAACCACAGGAGGUGACCCCUCGGAAACUGCCCUGCUGCGGAGCACCUGACAUUGUCUUGUAGCUUGCUGAGUUCUGCUGCUGCAGGGUUCCCCGGCCACAGUUUGGGGGAUCAGUCUUCCUUCUUCCUUUAGCUGCAGAACAGUUGCUGCCAGCCAGCUUGGGGAUGAAGAGGGGCGUGCAUCCAAUGGCCCCACUCACACAGAGGCAGCUGAACAGUGGGUGGGGCUGAAAUACUUGGCCAUUCUGGUAAUAGACCCUGUUGAACUCACAUCCAACUGCCACAAGAUCUAAAAAGAAAAAAGCAGAUUACCAAAAAAGAACAAAAGUACUAUAGUUAGUUAGACCUACUCCGGUUGUAACUGUCUCUUUUCUGAACAUAGUUCUUAAUUCCUUAAGCCUCCUUUAGAAUUUCCUUCACAGAAACAUCUACAGAAAGGUUGGUCAUGUGGUGGCCACACACACCAUUGUCCCAGCAUUCCGGAGGUUCUCAGAUCUCAAGUUCAAGGCCAGCCAGGUUCUAAGACACCCAAAGUUUUCAGAGAAACCCUUCUCAAAAAAGCAAAGAGGAGGAAGUGGGAGAGGAGUCCUCAGCUUGCAGUGAAAUGGUUAUAAAUAAGUGGUUGAUACUGGAUGAGACGAUUCUAUCCGCUACUCGAAUACAAGCCAGAAUGCAUCCAUCGGCAGUCUGGAGAAACCAGAGUUUACUUCAGGGUAACUGAAAAGAGGAGACAUGCAUGUUCUCCAAGGGCUGUUCUUCCCUUUCAGGCCAGCAAUUUCAGUGUGUCCCAACAACCACUCAGGAAUGGCUGGAGUAUUUUUACAGAACCUGAAAAGUCAAAACUCUUCAAGAUCCUGGGAUGUGAUAGACAUUAUCGCUGAUGUGUGACAUCAUCAGUGGGAGAGAGUCAGCCAUGGCUGAAACUGAUGCCUUAGCAGGACUUGGGCAGCACAGGCAGCAGCUGUGUUCUGCCUCUCCUGCACUUGUACCUAGAAUGACAGCGCUACCUUAACAGUGUUAAGUGGCACAGUAAAGUAAGCUAACUUUAUUAAACCCUACCCAUUUUUGUAUAAUAUUCUGUAUGACAAAGUAAAUCAAGGAUUCCCCAUGCAAAAGCACAAUAGCAGCCUUGGAGAAAGUACUAGUGUUAGAAGACAAGGAGUCAGGUUUUCAGUCGGAACUUUUCUUAAGUAGCUCUCAGACGAACCAUGAGUGUUCAGACUUGGGUACGGGGGAGGGGUUUUCUUGAACGUGAACAGUAGCUUGGCUAAUAGUCACUUCUAAGGAAACAGCUCAAACUGUGUUGCCAAUGAUGGAACUCACACUUCUAAGUAAAAGGAUGUUGGAAAAC
rnacentral:lncRNA from 1 species